UACGGGGGGGCAAGCGUUGUUCGGAAUUACUGGGCGUAAAGGGCUCGUAGGUGGCCAACUAAGUCAGACGUGAAAUCCCUCAGCUUAACUGGGGAACUGCGUCUGAUACUGGAUGGCUUGAGUUUGGGAGAGGGAUGCGGAAUUCCAGGUGUAGCGGUGAAAUGCGUAGAUAUCUGGAGGAACACCAGUGGCGAAAGCGGCUUCCUGGCCCGACAUUGACGCUCAUGUACGAAAGCGCGGGGAGCAAACAGG
rnacentral:rRNA from 1 species